rnacentral:rRNA from 1 species
CCAGCAGUAAACGGGACAGGAAGCACGACCGCCGGCCACCCACAAGCCCCACCCAAAUCCGAAGAACACGUUCCCACUCACACUGCAGAGCUGCCGCCGCCGCCGCCGCUCGCCGAAGAAUCGUCUCCUCGCCGUCGAUCGCUCCGGAUUCCGCUCCGGAUUUCGCCUCCCCGCCCCUUCCGCUGCUCUCCGCCGGCGCCGGCGACCGACAUACCGACCGUGAUGAGCUCGUGAGGAUCGCCGAGAAAUGUCAUGCCAUGUGCACUCGAAGUAACUGACAAAAGGCCGAAGAACACGUCGCGUAUGCGGUGUAACGGACUGGUUGGGAACGACAACUUCUUUCCAGAGGACCAUCUAAUUCACAGACCGGUUUACGGCUUCCCUGAUAACAGGGCAGUCACUGUGGUCCUCUCACCUGUUAUUCAGUUUUUCGGGAAGCUACUUGUUUACUGUCUUUUUGUGGUGUGGCAGGGACAGUCCAUUUACGGUGCUUUCUCUUGGGCACAGUUCAGAUUGGAAAUUGGCGCCGUUUUCAUCUAGCAGACAGGAGGUCAACAGGGCAAGAUAUUUGACAUUAGGAACUGCUGCUACAGAGGGCUUUGAGUUACUAUUCCCACAGCCAACAAUAGUAUACUGGCUAGAUCUGCCGAAUGAAAAGAACAUGCAUGAUCAGGACAUUUCUUCUAAACCACAUCCCAAUGGAGGAAGCACUGUAGGACAACAUCGGCAUAGGAAAAAGAUUAAGAAGUCAUUGACAGCUUGCCCUCCCUGCCACGCGGUUGCAAGUACCUCUUCUGGGCCUGAUACUGCUCCUCUGGGAUCUGAUUCUGAUAUUUUGCAUGACGAUGACAAGCCUCCUAAAAGGAGUUCUAAGAAGAAAGUAAACAAGUGGAAACAGUGCAGGCGAGCAACCGGUGAAAAGCUUAAUUUGUUGCCAGAACUCCCCUGUGAAGAGCAUAUUGAUACCGCUUCUCCUGUUGAGGUAUUUCUGCCUGAUUUACUAGCUGGUAAAUUGUCAGAUGCCUCGUCAUCUGCCUGCUCAUUGGUUAAAGAUGCCCAUUUGGGCAAAGAUAAUGGUGAGAGCAACAAUGAAUAUGUGGAACACGGAAGUGAUGGGAAGGAUGGCUCUGGAUAUGCAGGGUCAUCUAAUAUAUAUGUAGGCAAAAGAGUUAGCUGCAAAGGUGCUCCUUACCUGAAUGAUGGGCCAAAUACUGCGGAUUCUUCAGAAUUUGGUGAACCUUCUGUCACUGAACAUGCGAGAGAAGAAAGCAAUAGCUGCCAGAAGUCAUUGUGUGCCUGUGUUUGUAACUCCAGUGAUGCAACCACAGCUUCAUUCUUUACGGGUUGGAACAGUGAAAACUGUGGGGAUUGCAGUAUUGAUUUUGAGGGAAAUACACGAGAUGGUUUGCAACAUGGCGCUUCUACUUGUCUGGAUAGUGUAAAUAAGGUAUGCCAUUUGACAGAUGUCCAUUUAAGUGGCGCUCAUGCUGAAGAUGUUACUGAUACUAGUAGUCAUUCUGAAAGAGUUCAGUGCAGCAGUGAAGCCUGUAGCAGCAAGACGUUUCUUCCAGUUAGUCCGGGGAGGAGCGGCAGGAAAUCAAGAAACAAAUCUAGCUGUACUAAUGUGACUGCGACUAAUAGGGUAGUAGGUUCUAAUAGGCACAAGCAUAGUGGAAAAGACAGUCCAGUUUCUGUGUGGCAGAAAGUAGAAAAAACUGACAAGGAAAACUCAUCUGGAGCAGGACAUGUGGUUGUUUCAGCAGUUGAGGAUAAAAGUGCACUAGAAGAUGAUAGCAAGGGUGUGCAGCACGAUCCAAAUAGGCCAAUGGAUAAACAUCGCUGUAGAAAAAACUGCAAACAGCACAAGAAGCAAACCUUGUCUCUGUAUGAACAAACAAGUUUGUCUUGUAAAAAGGGUAGCUGUCCGUCGCCGAGGAACUACUACGCUCCUAAGAAUGGUAGCCCCAAGACGCCCAAGAACCACUCGCAACAGACUGAAGGAUUGUCGAUGUUACAGCCAGUAUGUGCCGGGGACAUCAGUGAUACAUCAAUCAUAACUGGUACUGAAAAAGCAACAGUAGCAUCUUACAACUUGGGUUCUCAUUUGGUGCCACAAGUUACAUCCAACGAACCAUGCACAUUGGUGAUUCAAGACGAUAGUCACUCUCUUUGCCUUGAAAAUAAGGCCAUAUCAACAGAUUUGGACUGCAGGAACUUGUGCGUCGGUCCUUGCGCCGCAGAAAUGGAAGAAACUCAAUGUGUGAAGUCAUAUUCUUCUGCUGGGCACAUGUCACAUAAAUGGGUUCCUAUUGGAAAGAAAGAUAUAACACAUUUGGAUGUUCCAGAGGCUUCUGUUGUUGAAGCAUCAGUUCCAGCUAAUGAUGUUUCUCUUUUUGCUAAUAUAGAAGUGCAGAGAAAUGUUUCAGAUGCUCCUGCAUCAACUAAAUGUGAAGGCAGCAAAGUUGCUACUGAGUUGACUGCUAAACCGAAGCCAUCUGGACAGCUUGAUUCGAAAUGCCAAGGACAUACUGACAAUGGAACUGUUUUCAGCAUGAUAAGAGAGGCAGUGAGUGAUGCUCAUACCGCCCAACAGAGAGCGGAAGAUAUUCAACUUCACAUUGGCAGGCCUCUUGCUGAUUUUGAACAAUUUAUUUAUUCUGCUUCUCCAGUUCUGCACUGUAGCUCUUGCCCUACUGGCUGCAACUCUUCUUCACAGGAAUGGAUUAGAGAUGGCUUGUGCUGUCAUCAGACUGCAGAUAUCUCUCUAAGUAGCAUUUGGCAGUGGUAUGAAGAACCUGGCUGCUAUGGCUUGGAAGUGAAGGCACAGGAUCUCCGUAGAUCGAAAGGCUUAUGGAAUAGUCGUUAUCAGUUUAAUGCCUACUUUGUGCCAUACCUAUCUGCGGUUCAAUUGUUUAGGCAACCUAAGAGAACCGUUGAUAAGGAUGAAGCCGAUAUGGGUGCAAGAUCUAAAACAUCUCCAUGUAUGAGCUCUCUCCCAAUAUUAGCGAAGCUUCUACCUCAAGAGUCUAAUAAAAGAAAUAGCUCGCCGGCUUUCCGUGAUAAAGAUGAUCAGCAGUUGGAGGCUACAGAGCUCAUAUUUGAAUUCUUUGAAUCUGAACAACCAUUUUGGCGGCGACAGUUAUUUGACAGGGUAAAGGAGUUGAUUGGUGGUGCAAAACAAUCAAAUUGCCAAAUAUCAGGAGACCCAAAGAAUCUGGAGCUCAACCUGCAUGAUCUUCAUCCCGCCUCUUGGUACUGUGUCGCGUGGUAUCCCAUAUACCGUAUACCUGAUGGGAAAUUCCAGGCUGCUUUCCUGACGUACCAUUCUCUUGGACACUGGGUUCAUCGAGGAAACUCAGCAGAUCAGGCUGGCCAUUGUAAUGCUGUUUUGCCAGUCAUGGGUUUGCAAUCUUACAACGACAAGGGGGAGUGGUGGUUUCAGACGAGCAGAUCCGGUUCGGAAGACUCAGAGUCCUCGUCAAGUGAACCAUCUCAGGUUCUUGAAGAAAGGUUGUCGACGCUGAACCAAGCCGCGGCGGCCAUGGCCAGGGCGGACGUGUGGAAGAAGGACCAGGCCCACAGGAACAGGCACCCGGACUAUGAGUUCUUCCUGUCCCGACAGCAACGGUAGACGACCCCAAGCUUUUUGCACACACCAUGUUUCAGAACACGGACGGGGGCCACUUUCCCUGUAACCAGAACCAUGCGGACUGAGCGGCGCCGUCCGCCUGUGUUACCCCUGUAUAUAUUUGAGAUAGAGGUACAUGUGGAGGUGCUGCUCAAUUGAAAGUGAAACCAGACCAGAAAAUGUUUAGCUCGCUGCUUACUUACUAGUUGGGGUUGAUAUCAUAGGUGCAACCCUUUUUAAAUCUAAUUAGCUUGCUCACCCAUGUGAUGUGUGUACAUAUAUGCCUGUAACUCAACUCAGCACUGUAUCUAUCUAACUCUGUAGCUGCAUAAUAUAGAUCUGAUCACCAACAAUGCAGGAAAUUAGCAGGAAACCAUCGUCAUUCAUUGAGAAUGAGAAGGGAUCACUCAUGUCUGCAACUGCAAUGCAACCCAACACUGGCUGUGUGUAACACUGUAACUCUUAGCUUAUGGGAUACUGUAACUAGAUCUGGCCAGCAACAAGGCAGGCAUCUUUUAUUUAUGCUAUGACUAU